CCUAACACAUGCAAGUCGAGCGGCAGCGGGAAAGUAGCUUGCUACUUUUGCCGGCGAGCGGCGGACGGGUGAGUAAUGCCUGGGAAAUUGCCCAGUCGAGGGAGAUACCAGUUGGAAACGACUGUUAAUACCGCAUAAUGUCUACGGACCAAAGUGUGGGACCUUCGGGCCACAUGCUAUCGGAUGCGCCUACGUGGGAUUAGCUAGUUGGUGAGGUAAUGGCUCACCAAGGCGACGAUCUCUAGCUGGUUUGAGAGGAUGAUCAGCCACACUGGAACUGAGACACGGUCCAGACUCCUACGGGAGGCAGCAGUGGGGAAUAUUGGACAAUGGGCGCAAGCCUGAUCCAGCCAUGCCGCGUGUGUGAAGAAGGCCUUCGGGUUGUAAAGCACUUUCAGCGAGGAGGAAGGGGUGUGUGUUAAUAGUACACACCUUUGACGUUACCGACAGAAUAAGCACCGGCUAACUUCGUGCCAGCAGCCGCCGUAACAC
rnacentral:rRNA from 1 species